rnacentral:rRNA from 1 species
UACGGAGGGGGCGAGCGUUAUUCGGAAUUAUUGGGCGUAAAGGGCGCGUAGGCGGCCUUCUAAGUCGAACGUGAAAUCCCCGGGCUCAACCCGGGAACUGCGUCCGAUACUGGAAGGCUUGAAUCCGGGAGAGGGAUGCGGAAUUCCAGGUGUAGCGGUGAAAUGCGUAGAUAUCUGGAGGAACACCGGUGGCGAAGGCGGCAUCCUGGACCGGUAUUGACGCUGAGGCGCGAAAGCCAGGGGAGCAAACGGG